GACGAACGCUGGCGGCGUGCUUAACACAUGCAAGUCGAACGAAGUGGCGAACGGGUGAUUAACGCGUACUCAACCUGCCCUUCAGAGGGGAACAACAGUUGGAAACGACUGCUAAUACCGCAUACUGAAGGAGGGGAUUGCGUAUGAUUAGCUAGGUGGAGGGGUAACGGACCACCAAGGCGAGUGUGAGUCGCCGGUCUGAGAGGACGAACGGCCCCCUUUGGGCCUGGACACGGCCCAGACUCCUGCGGGAAGCAACAGUGGGGAAGCUUCCGCAAUGGGCGAAAGGCUGACGGAGCAACUCCGCGUGAGGGAUGACGGCCUUCGGGUUGUAAAGCUCUGUUAAUCGGGACGCGGUACCGGAAUAGAAAGCCACGGCUAACUACGUGCCAGCAGCCGCGGUAAUUC
rnacentral:rRNA from 1 species